UACGUAGGGGGCAAGCGUUGUCCGGAAUCAUUGGGCGUAAAGAGCGCGUAGGCGGCCCGAUAAGUCCGCUGUGAAAGUCGGGGGCUCAACCCUCGAAUGCCGGUGGAUACUGUCGGGCUAGAGUGCGGAAGAGGCGAGUGGAAUUCCUGGUGUAGCGGUGAAAUGCGCAGAUAUCAGGAGGAACACCGAUUGCGAAGGCAGCUCGCUGGGACGUCACUGACGCUGAGACGCGAAAGCGUGGGGAGCAAACAGG
rnacentral:rRNA from 1 species